ensembl:lncRNA
GUUAAAGUUAACUGACUGUGAUGUGUCCAGAGACUGUGAUGUGUCCAGAGACUGCUGCAGAGAUCCUCAGACACUUGGUCCUGGCUCUACUGCCAAUCACAACCAGGUGUCCUUUUCACUCCAUACGGACAGAUUCCUGUUGAUCUGGGAUAUUUUUAUUACAGAUCAUUUGGUUCCACAGUGCACUGAUUGACCAGGAGACUGUUAAACUGAAUAUGUCUUCAGUUAGUUCAUAUGUGAUUCCACAGUGCCGCCUCAGACCCAUACAGGGGCCAGAUGCUGUUGUAACUAGCCAUGCUGUUGUAGGGGUCUGUCUAACCCAGCUGUAGUUAGUAGUGGUCAGUGUCUCCUCAGACCCAUACAGGGGCCAGAUUCUGUUGUAGGGGUCUGUCUAACCCAGCUGUAGUUAGUGGUCAGUGUCUCCUCAGACCCAUACAGGGGCCAGAUUCUGUUGUAGGAGUCUGUCUAACCCAGCUGUAGUUAGUGGUCAGUGUCUCCUCAGACCCAUACAGGGGCCAGAUUCUGUUGUAGGGGUCUGUCUAACCCAGCUGUAGUUAGUAGUGGUCAGUGUCUCCUCAGACCCAUACAGGGGCCAGAUUCUGUUGUAGGGGUCUGUCUAACCCAGCUGUAGUUAGUAGUGGUCAGUGUCUCCUCAGACCCAUUCAGAGGAAGGAAUGUUAUUGGCCCAUCAGACGACAGGGAAGGAUGUUUUUAAUGAUCAUAACAUGGUUAUAUCUUGCCGUAACUAAUCUGAAAUACAAUUUAACAUCAAUAAUAUCACGUUACUGUUCUGUGGACUCAUAAAGCAUCUCUAUAAUAGUCUGUAAUACUGUUCUGUGGACUCAUAAAUCAUCUCUAUAAUAGUCUGUAAUACUGUUCUAAUAUCGGACUCCGCUGAUCUGAAGACAGUCAAUGGUGUCACCUGUCACUGAUUUUAGAGAGCUGCAUAAUGUUCUGACUGGUUUCUCUGUCUAAAGAUGAUUUUAGAGAGCUGCAUAAUGUUCUGACUGGUUUCUCUGUCUAAAGAUGAUUUUAGAGAGCUGCAUAAUGUUCUGAUCUGUCUAAAGAUGCAUCUGACGACCUCCAGAGGGGGGCAGGAUGAUCUGAUCUGUCUAAAGACGCAUCUGACGACCUCCAGAGGGGGGCAGGAUGAUCUGACUGUCUUCACCGGGUCUAAAAAUGUGGACAAGAUCAGGACAAAGGAUGCAAGUUAGAACCAGGUAUAAACAGGGCUAGGAGCUCUUCCUCAUGAUUUCCUGCUCUGACAGGUUCUCCACUAGGACCAGUAGAGACACAGAACAGCAGUGGUCCUCUCCUCCAACCCUGCUCUGACAGGUUCUCCACUAGGACCAGUAGAGACACAGAACAGCAGUGGUCCUCUCCUCCAACCCUGCUCUGACAGGUUCUCCACAAGGACCAGUAGAGACACAGAACAGCAGAGGUCCUCUCCUCCAACCCUGCUCUGACAGGUUCUCCACUGCCUACCCCCUCUAUUCAACCUCCAGCUGCCUACCCCCUCUAUUCAACCUCCAGCUGCCUACCCCCUCUAUUCAACCUCCAGCUGAGUACCCCCUCUAUUCAACCUGAAUUCGUCACAACCCGACUCGUGGGAAGUGAGAAAAGAGCUCUUAUCAGACCAGGGCACAAAUAAUAAUAAUCAAUUUAACUCUUUAUUUAACCAUCUUACAUAUAAAACCCUAUUUGUUCAUUGAAAAUGGUGAAUAGCUCACCACAUAUUAAUGUUGGGUUGUAUUGGAGAGUCUGUCUUAAAUCAUUUUCCACACACAGUCUGUGUCUCUAUUUAGUUUUCAUGCUAAUGAGGGCCGAGAAUCCACUCUCACAUAGGUACAGUGGGGCAAAAAAAUUAAUACAGGUAACGAGUGGAGGACAGAGGAGCCUCUUAAAGAAGAAGUUACAGGUCUGUGAGAGCCAGAAAUCUUGCUUGUUUGUAGGUGACCAAAUACUUAUUUUCCACCAUAAUUUGCAAAUGAAUUCAUUAAAAAUCCUACAAUGUGAUUUUCUGGAUUUUUUUUCUAAUUUUGUCUGUCAUAGUUGAAGUGUACCUAUGAUGAAAAUUACAGGCCUCGUCUUUUUAAGUGGGAGAACUUGCACGAUUGGUGGCUGACUAAAUACUUUUUUGCCCCACUGUAUGUGCACAAAUAAUAUAAAAGGGCUUCAGUGUCUUAACAGCAGGAUUUGCCAAGGCAGGAUACUCUGAGCGCAGCCCUAUCCAGAAAUCUGGCAGUGGCUUCUGAUUAAAUUACAUUUUCACAGAACCGCUUGUUGCAAUUUCGAUGAGGCUCUCUUGUGCAGAUAUCGGUAAGUGGACUGGAGGCAGGGCAUGAAAGGGAUAACAAAUCCAGUUGUUUUUGUCAUCUGUUUCAGGAAAUGACCUGCGUAAUUGUGCACCCAACUCACUCAGGUGCUUCACUAUAUCACAUUUGACAUUGUUCGUAAGCUUGAGUUCAUUUGCACACAAAAAAUCAUACAAUGAUGGAAAGACCUGUGUGUUGUCCUUGUUAAUGCAGACAGAGAAGAGCUCCAACUUCUUAAUCAGCCUCAAUUUUGUCCCUGUUACGGAUACAGUUAUCCUGUGUGUGUGUGUAUCCUGUGUGUGUAUCCUGUGUGUGUUUCUUUUCUCUCCUUCUCCCCUCACAGGUGAACAUCAUCACUCCCCAAUCAGUCAACAAUCAAUCAUCAAUCAGAAUACACACCUCCUCCUAUUUCCUACCCUAUCACAGUUCCUUCCCCAUGGUUUAAAAACCCCAUCAGUUGUUUGCUCUGGAGCUCAAUCUCUCUGUAAAUGCCAUGUCUGUAGAUCUCUGUGUUUCACUCUCGCUUUGUGUCUUAACCUCUCUUUUUGUUUGAGCACCUCCAUAGCACUUUGUCAUCUCCUGUGAGUAUGGUGUUUGUUUGAUUGCUGGUGGGAAAAGGGGGAAACCAAGACAAGUCGCCCAGGGGCAUACACUACCCGUAGGUGAACUUUGUUAAAUACACUAGUUAGAACUGGGCGGACCACCCACUGUAUUUUUGGUUAGUUAGCUGUUGUUAAAGUAGGCUAGUCUAGCUUAGGGGUGUUUUUGUAUAUUUAUUGUUUCUUUCCUUGG